rnacentral:rRNA from 1 species
UACAGAGGUCUCGAGCGUUAGGCGGAAUCACUGGGCUUAAAGCGUGUGUAGGUGGAUGCCUAAGUACCUUGUGAAAUCCCACAGCUUAACUGUGGAACUGCUUGGUAUACUGGGUGUCUUGAGUCACUCAGGGGCGAGCGGAACAAAUGGUGGAGCGGGUGAAAUGCGUAGAUAUCAUUGGAACGCCAAUGGUGAAAACAGCUCGCUGGGGGUGCACUGACACUGAGACACGAAGCCAGGGGAG